rnacentral:lncRNA from 1 species
GUAGAUAUGUAUAGGGGACAGGGAUACUGGAGUGAUAGAGGUAGAUAUGUAUAGGGGGAAGGGGACAGGGAUACUGGAGUGAUGGAGGUAGAUAUGUAUAGGGGGAAGGGGACAGGGAUACUGGAGUGAUGGAGGUAGAUAUGUAUAGGGGUAAGGGGACAGGGAUACUGGAGUGAUGGAGGUAGAUAUGUAUAGGGGGAAGGGGACAGGGAUACUGGAGUGAUGGAGGUAGAUAUGUAUAGGGGGAAGGUGACUAUAUACAGGGUCAGUACCAUAUUAACAAUGUACAGGGAUACUGGAGGGAUGGAGGUAGAUAUGUAUAGGGGUAAGGUGACUAUAUACAGGGUCAGUACCAUAUUAACAAUGUACAAGGAUACUGGAGUGAUGGAGGUAGAUAUGUAUAGGGGGAAGGGGACAGGGAUACUGGAGUGAUGGAGGUAGAUAUGUAUAGGGGUAAGGUGACUAUAUACAGGGUCAGUACCAUAUUAACAAUGUACAGGGAUACUGGAGUGAUGGAGGUAGAUAUGUAUAGGGGUAAG